GAAUGCUAAUACCUUUAGUUUUCCAUCACCACACCAGCACCUUUCUACCGUUGACUGACAUUUCCACUUCCUUCUUGCCAUUGCAUGUUUUUUUGCCAAAUGUCCCUCCCUCUCACGCCUCCAACACUAGCUGUUUUGCCCCUUGCAUCACCACCGCCAGCUGCCCUUUUUUUUCUUCGAUCAACAAAAUUCUGCUCUUGCUCAGUCAAUCGGCGAAGGAGAAUCGUCCAGCAAAUCCCCCAAGCCUCUGAUUUUUCUUCACUCUUGCCGACCUAUUCUUUUUCUUCUUCUUCCCUUCUCAUUCUGUACCACCCAAAACACAGAACCUCUUCCUCCGUUGUUUUUCUUCUGUUCUGAAUCAAGUUCAUUGCCCGACACCACCAGCUUGCUGUCCAUCCUAGCGAGCCGUUUCCAGACCUUCACGCCGCCAAGUUCCUUCUCACCGUGGGCUUGAGGUGCGACGAAAGGCUUGAGAAGAAUUUUCUGUGGUCCUCUUUCCAUUUCCGAACUGCGCGGCGCCGUAUUCAGCCGUUAAGACUUUUAGCUAUGCCUAUCCUACCUGCCUCCUCCUUAGUUAGCUAUGGGUCCCCGAUCGACUUCUUGGGACACCUGUCAGAGUUCGAGAUUCCUGAUGUCCCCGGGAUAGUGUUCAUGCGAUGUAUCUCAGUAUUGACCGUAGAUGUUGGGCCCCAUGUCGGAUCUAUAUUGUUAGGUUUUUUGGCGGUGUAUGCUCGUAUUGGUGGGCGACUGAUAGGGCCCCUACCGUACGUGUCCGACGACGGGGAUGACGAUGCUUCUAGUGGGGUGGAGUGAGCUGUAGUUGGAGGAUGGGGAGGAUCAUUUUUGGGACAUGUGACCGACACUUUUUGGGAUAGGGUCACGUGAUAGGUGAUACGUUUUUGAUAGAUGAAAUAGUGAGUCUUAUGUUGAUAGCAUAGUGAUGGGAGUAACACUGUACAGAGCCUCCCUAGUAUGAACUCACCCUUGUAUCAUCCAUGUAUAUAAAUAAAGAAAUGUUGAAGUUUAGUGCCAGUGA